AGUGGCGCACGGGUGCGUAACGCGUGGGAAUCUACCCUUAACUGCGGAAUAACGUCGGGAAACUGACGCUAAUACCGCAUAAUGACUCCGGUCCAAAGAUUUAUCGGUUAAGGAUGAGCCCGCGUCUGAUUAGUUAGUUGGUGGGGUAAUGGCCUACCAAGACGAUGAUCAGUAGGGGGUCUGAGAGGAUGAUCCCCCACACUGGAACUGAGACACGGUCCAGACUCCUACGGGAGGCAGCAGUGAGGAAUAUUGGACAAUGGGCGCAAGCCUGAUCCAGCCAUGCCGCGUGAGUGAAGAAGGCCUUGGGGUUGUAAAGCUCUUUCAAUGGUGAAGAUAAUGACGGUAGCCAUAGAAGAAGCCCCGGCUAAAUUCGUGCCAGCAGCCGCGGUAAUACGAAUGGGGCAAGCGUUGUUCGGAAUCACUGGGCUUAAAGCGUGCGUAGGCGGACCACCAAGUCAGGAGUGAAAUCCCGGGGCUCAACCCCGGAACCGCUUUUGAAACUGGCGGUCUAGAAACCGGUAGGGGUGAGGAGAAUUCCGAGUGUAGAGGUGAAAUUCGCAGAUAUUCGGAGGAAUACCAGUGGCGUAGGCGCCUCACUGGACCGGCAUUGACGCUGAGGCACGAAAGCGUGGGGAGCAAACAGGAUUAGAUACCCUGGUAGUCCACGCNGUAAAC
rnacentral:rRNA from 1 species